rnacentral:rRNA from 1 species
CCUACGGGGGGCAGCAGUGGGGAAUAUUGGGCAAUGGGCGCAAGCCUGACCCAGCAACGCCGCGUGAAGGACGAAGGCUUUCUGGUUGUAAACUUCUUUUCUCAGGGACGAAGCAAGUGACGGUACCUGAGGAAUAAGCCACGGCUAACUACGUGCCAGCAGCAGCGGUAAUCCGUAGGUGGCAAGCGUUAUCCGGAUUUACUGGGUGUAAAGGGCGUGUAGGCGGGACUGGAAGUCAGAUGUGAAAACCAUGGGCUCAACCUAUGGCCUGCAUUUGAAACUGUAGUGCUUGAGUACUGGAGAGGCAGACGGAAUUCCUAGUGUAGCGGUGAAAUGCGUAGAUAUUAGGAGGAACACCAGUGGCGAAGGCGGUCUGCUGGACAGCAACUGACGCUGAGGCGCGAAAGCGUGGGGAGCAAACAGGAUUAGAUACCCCUGUAGUC